rnacentral:rRNA from 1 species
ACUCAAAGGAAUUGACGGGGACCCGCACAAGCAGUGGAUCAUGUGGUUUAAUUCGAUGCUACGCGAAGAACCUUACCGAGGCUUGACAUCCUGAGAAGUCUCCCGAAACGGAGAUGUGCCCCUCAUUGCUUGCUAUCCGAAUGGAUAGUCGGCAGCGAGGGGAGCUCAGUGACAGGUGCUGCAUGGCCGUCGUCAGCUCGUGUCGUGAGAUGUUGGGUUAAGUCCCGCAACGAGCGCAACCCUUGUUGUCUGUUGUAUUUUUCAGGCAAGACUGCCCGGGCCAACCGGGAGGAAGGUGGGGAUGACGUCAGGUCAGCAUGGCCCUUACGCCUCGGGCCACACACGUGAUACAAUGGCCGGCACAACGAGCCGCGAAGCCGCGAGGUGGAGCUAAUCUCAUCAAAACCGGUCUCAGUUCGGAUUGCAGGCUGCAACUCGCCUGCAUGAAGCUGGAAUUGCUAGUAAACGUGGGUCAGCAUACCACGUUGAAUACGUUCCCGGGUCUUGCACACACCGCCCGU